AUGCGUAUGUUGAGAUGGAUGUGUGGCCACACGAGGAAAGAUCGAGUCCGGAAUGAUGAUAUACGAGAUAGAGUUGGGGUAGCACCAAUUGAGGAGAAGCUUGUCCAACAUCGUUUGAGAUGGUUUGGGCAUAUUCAGCGCAGGCCUCCAGAAGCUCCAGUGCAUAGCGGAGGGCUAAAGCGUGCGGAGAAUGUCAAGAGAGGGCGGGGUCGACCGAUUUUGACAUGGGAGGAGUCCGUUAAGAGAGACCUGAAGGAUUGGAGUAUCGACAAAGAGCUAGCUAUGGACAGGGGUGCGUGGAAGCUUGCUAUCCAUGUGCGAGAGCCAUGA
rnacentral:rRNA from 1 species